GACGAAGGAUCCAAGCGUUAUCCGGAUUUAUUGGGUUUUAAGGGUGCGUAGGCGGAUUGAUAAGUCAGUGGUGAAAGCCUGCAGCUUAACUGCAGAACUACCAUUGAUACUGUCAAUCUUGAAUAUGUUUGAUGUGGGCGGAAUAUGACAUGUAGCGGUGAAAUGCUUAGAUAUGUCAUAGAACAACGAUUGCGAAGGCAGCUCACAAAGCCAUUAUUGACGCUGAGGCACGAAAGCGUGGGGAUCAAACAGG
rnacentral:rRNA from 1 species